CACUGCUCAGAAUCAAGCCCACCCGAAAACUACUGUUGGGCCGGGAACUUGCUGCUUCACGAGCCGGCGCUCCAGGGACAAGACUGCCCGGAGACAGACCCAGCAGAAUCUGGAAAGCUAGAGGGAAAAAGUCACACACCCCCGGUUUCGGCGAUUCGUCACAACAAGCGCCAAAAAAGCCGAGACUCCGCACCGGCGAAAAACGGCACAGACGACCACAUAAAUCUAGAGCUGGGGGAUUCCGGCGCCC